rnacentral:rRNA from 1 species
CCUACGGGGGGCUGCAGUAGGGAAUAUUGCUCAAUGGGGGAAACCCUGAAGCAGCAACGCCGCGUGGAGGAUGAAGGUUUUCGGAUUGUAAACUCCUUUUGUUAGAGAAGAUAAUGACGGUAUCUAACGAAUAAGCACCGGCUAACUCCGUGCCAGCAGCCGCGGUAAUACGGAGGGUGCAAGCGUUACUCGGAAUCACUGGGCGGAAAGAGCGCGUAGGCGGGAUAGCAAGUCAGAUGUGAAAUCCUAUGGCUUAACCAUAGAACUGCAUUUGAAACUGUUAUUCUAGAGUAUGGGAGAGGUAGGUGGAAUUCUUGGUGUAGGGGUAAAAUCCGUAGAGAUAAAGAGGAAUACUCAUUGCGAAGGCGACCUGCUAGAACAUAACUGACGCUGAUGCGCGAAAGCGUGGGGAGCAAACAGGAUUAGAUACCCCAGUAGUC